UACAGAGGUCCCGAGCGUUGUUCGGAUUCAUUGGGCGUAAAGGGUGCGUAGGCGGCGGGGCAAGUCUGAUGUGAAAUCCUGGGGCUCAACCCCAGAACUGCAUUGGAUACUGCCUUGCUAGAGUACUGGAGAGGGAACUGGAAUUUACGGUGUAGCAGUGAAAUGCGUAGAGAUCGUAAGGAAGGCCAGUGGCGAAGGCGGGUCUCUGGACAGUUCCUGACGCUGAGGCACGAAGGUCAGGGGAGCAAACGGG
rnacentral:rRNA from 1 species